rnacentral:rRNA from 1 species
UACAGAGGGUGCAAGCGUUGUUCGGAAUUAUUGGGCGUAAAGCGCGUGUAGGCGGCUUUGCAAGUCGGGUGUGAAAGCCCUCAGCUUAACUGAGGAAGUGCGCCCGAAACUGCAGAGCUUGAGUACCGGAGGGGAUGGUGGAAUUCCCCAAGUAGAGGUGAAAUUCGUAGAUAUGGGGAGGAACACCGGUGGCGAAGGCGACCAUCUGGACGGAUACUGACGCUGAGACGCGAAAGCGUGGGUAGCAAACAGG